UGGCCCAGAUGUUUACCGUGAAAAAAUUAGAGUGUUCAAAGCAGGCAGAUCCAAUUUUCUGCCACCGAAUACAUUAGCAUGGGAUAAUGGAAUAGGACCCUGUCCUCCUAUUUUCAGUUGGUUUUGGCAGCGCGAGGACUAGGGUAAUGAUUAAUAGGGAUAGUUGGGGGCAUUAAUAUUUAAUUGUCAGAGGUGAAAUUCUUGGAUUUAUGAAAGAUUAACUUCUGCGAAAGCAUCUGCCAAGGAUGUUUUCAUUAAUCAAGAACGAAAGUUAGGGGAUCGAAGACGAUCAGAUACCGUCGUAGUCUUAACCAUAAACGAUGCCGACCAGCGAUUAGGAGACGUUGAAUACAAAACACCACCAUCGGUGCGGUCUGUCCUUGGCGUCGGUCUUUCGGGGCC
rnacentral:rRNA from 1 species